UACAGAGGUCUCAAGCGUUGUUCGGAUUCAUUGGGCGUAAAGGGCUCGUAGGCGGCCAACUAAGUCGGACGUGAAAUCCCUCGGCUUAACCGGGGAACUGCGUCCGAUACUGGAUGGCUUGAGGUUGGGAGAGGGAUGCGGAAUUCCAGGUGUAGCGGUGAAAUGCGUAGAUAUCUGGAGGAACACCGGUGGCGAAGGCGGCAUCCUGGACCAAUUCUGACGCUGAGUGAGCGAAAGCCAGGGGAGCAAACGGG
rnacentral:rRNA from 1 species